UGGGGAAUAUUGCACAAUGGGGGCAAACCCUGAUGCAGCCAUGCCGCGUGUGUGAAGAAGGCCUUCGGGUUGUAAAGCACUUUCAGCGAGGAGGAAAGGUUGAUGCCUAAUACGUAUCAACUGUGACGUUACAUCGCAGAAGAAGCACCGGCUAACUCCGUG
rnacentral:rRNA from 1 species